GAUGAACGCUGGCGGCGUGCUUAACACAUGCAAGUCGAACGAAACACCUUAUUUUAUUUUCUUCGGAACUGAAGAUUUGGUGAUUGAGUGGCGGACGGGUGAGUAACGCGUGGGUAACCUGCCUUGUACAGGGGGAUAAUAGUCAGAAAUGACUGCUACUACCGCAUAAGACCACAGCACCGCAUGGUGCAGGGGUAAAAACUCCGGUGGUACAGGAUGGACUCGCGUCUGAUUAGCUGGUUGGUGAGGUUACGGCACACCAAGGCGACGAUCAGUAGCCGGCUUGAGAGAGGGAACGGCCACAAUGGGACUGAGGCACGGCCCAAACUCCGACGGAAGGCAGCAGUGUGUAAUAUUGCACAAUGGGGGAAAACCUGAUGAAGCGACGCGGCGUGAGUGAAGAAGUAUUUCGGUAUGUAAAGCUCUAUCAGCCGAGAAGAAAAUGACGGUACCUGAUAAAGAAGCCCCGGCUAACUACGUG
rnacentral:rRNA from 1 species